GAUGAAGAACGCAGCGAAAUGCGAUAAGUAGUGUGAAUUGCAGAAUUCAGUGAAUCAUCGAAUCUUUGAACGCACAUUGCGCCCUUUGGUAUUCCAAAGGGCAUGCCUGUUCGAGCGUCAUUUGUACCCUCAAGCUUUGCUUGGUGUUGGGCGUCUUGUCUCUAGCUUUGCUGGAGACUCGCCUUAAAGUAAUUGGCAGCCGGCCUACUGGUUUCGGAGCGCAGCACAAGUCGCACUCUCUAUCAGCAAAGGUCUAGCAUCCAUUAAGCCUUUUUUUCAACUUUUGACCUCGGAUCAGGAAGGGAUACCCGCUGAACUUAAGCAUAUCAAUAAGCGGAGGA
rnacentral:misc_RNA from 1 species